UCUGUCCCUCUCCGACUUGCAAACAUUCUCUGUCUCAAAAUAAGUAAAUGAAAAAAAAACAUGUUAAAAAAUUAAUAAAUAAAAUUAUUAAUCUAAAAUUUCCAAUUCACAUCAAGGGGAAACUAGAAGACCUAUGUUUUAAAUAACUGACUCAACUAAUAAAGAAAAAUGUGUCACUCACCCAACGACAGCAUAUUGUUGUCCCUCUACAAUGAGAACUUCAGCUGGCUUUCUUUCUUCCGUAACUAGAGAGUAAAGCAUAUAACAAAGAGAGACAUAGGAACAAGACUAAACAAAUUAUUAAAGUAAAAAUUUAAACUAGGAAAAAAAUGAAGAAGAUAGUUCCAAUUUAGGGCUGGUAGGGCUGGAAACUAUCUUAUAUUCAAAAACAAAUGUCUACUUCUUAGGAAGCAAUUUGGCACGGAAUAAAGUAUAUUGGGUUUGGAAUCAGAGAAAUAUGGAUUUGAGUUCCAGUACUGCCAAUCACGGGAUGCAAGAACUUGUGCCAAUUAGUUAACUUCUUUCAGUGUCAACGUCUGUAUCCAUUAAACAUGGAUAACGGAAACUAUCAGUGUUUUUGUUAACAACAGAGAUCAUGACUACAAACUGCCGAUCCUAGGUCUGCCCUAUGGUAGAUGAUCAGUGAGUAAAAAAAAAAUAAUAUAUUAGUUUGGAAAGGCAGAACUAGAAUUUCAACUGGUUGUCUAUAUUAUAAUUCUUAGAUUAUAAACUAAUUCCUAUACUCAAUAGAGAGAUAUAAUUUUCAAGACUUCAGUCCAGAAAUUAUUUUCAGCAUGUGGUAUUUCUUACCGUUAUAAAACAAAACUCAGCAUGUUGAAGUGAAAAGUAGAGUAGACUGGAUUAUUGUUCUUAAUCAGCCAAAUUAUUUAGAUUAUCAUGGGCCCAUUAUUAUGCUUCCCCAAGCCUCAAGUCCCUGACUUGACAUUAAAUAUCUACUUCCUCAUUUCCUUCAAGGAAAGAAAUUCAGUGUGACACAAUUUCAAAUUUCUAAUCUGUAUACCAGAUUAAAUUUUUGAAGAUAGGGACUGUGUCUUAACCAAUUCUCUACAUUACAGAGAAAACGGCAGAGCAUAGUAGUGAAAAGAAAGGGCCCUAAAGUCAGUCUGCCUGUAUCUGGAACUCAGCUCUACCACUUCCUAGCUCUGUAACCUUAGGCAAGUUGCCUAAUUUCUUUGCGCCUCACUUUCCAUAUUUGUUAACUGGGAAUACUAACAGUAUCUAGUUCAUGGGCCUAUAAAUAAGAACGCAAUGUGCUGAGAACAAACUGUCUAGCCUUAGGUAAGCAUUCAAUUAAUAUUAAUUGCUAUCCAUUAACUUUCAUUUCCCCAAUGCCUAGACAAGUAGCUAGUAACUCAUUAAUGAAUGGUGGUCAAUGAAUGAAUAAUAACCAAGGAUCCUUAACUUGGUAAGAACAAGUAAAAUGGUGAUGGACUUCUAAUAGCAUGUACUUUCUCACUCAGAGGAAAAAAUAAAAGUCUGGGACAGAAAUAGAGUUAUAAAAGAAACCUCUUAUCGUUAGUAUCCUCCAAAGAGAAAGUGAAAAUAAACAGUUCACUUUGGGGGUAAAAAAAAAAAGACACAUGGUUAAUUCAAUCACUCUAUAUCUAUCAUUUUAGUUCAAAAAUUGUUAUGCUUGCAUGAGAAUGGAUUGUAAAACUUUGAGCUGUUCAGGACAAAAACCGUCAUUGUCAUCUAGCACAGCAACUCACAAAGUGGAAAUAUACACUUAAGAAUACGGAAAUAAUGAGACAUCAUGUCUGCAACCUUUUGCCAAAUGAUUCAGAAAAAAAUAUUAUCAUGAGAGACAAAGAGAGAAGAAGGGAGCAAGAAAGAGAAAAAGGAAGAAUGGGAGAAAGAAGGCAAUGUGGUAAACUGUCAACAAAUGACUUUUUCGUACAAUUCUGGCAACUUUUCUGUAAAUCUGAAAUUAUUUCAAACUAAGUUUUAAAAAGUCAUGUUUGAAAAAAUGGUAUGAUCCGCUUGGAAAUUCAUGCCUUUGAAAAACUAAAUCCACAGAUCUUCACUGUAUACAAAAUACAAAGGCGUUAUAGGAAAAGAAAGAAAAAUAAACAAGGUAAUGCUGACCUGAUUUUCAGGACAAGUUCUGCCACCAGUGACUUUAAAUAAGUCAAAUAAAUGCUCUGAAAUAAGGGCAUUUAAUUAAAUGGUUCCUUUCCAGCCUUAAAA